UACAGAGGUCUCAAGCGUUGUUCGGAUUCAUUGGGCGUAAAGGGUGCGUAGGCGGCGCGGUAAGUCGGGUGUGAAAUCUCGGAGCUUAACUCCGAAACUGCAUUCGAUACUGCCGUGCUUGAGGACUGGAGAGGAGACUGGAAUUUACGGUGUAGCGGUGAAAUGCGUAGAUAUCGUAAGGAAGACCAGUGGCGAAGGCGGGUCUCUGGACAAGUUCCUGACGCUGAGGCACGAAGGUCAGGGGAGCAAACGGG
rnacentral:rRNA from 1 species